AAGGUUUUAGCUUAAUUAAAGUAUCUGCUUUGCAUGUAGAAGAUGUGGAUUAAAAUUCUGCAAGCCUUA
rnacentral:tRNA from 1 species